rnacentral:rRNA from 1 species
UACGUAGGGCGCAAGCGUUGUCCGGAAUUAUUGGGCGUAAAGAGCUCGUAGGCGGCCUGUUACGUCUGCUGUGAAAUCCCGGGGCUUAACCCCGGGCGUGCAGUGGAUACGGGCAGGCUGGAGGCAGGCAGGGGAGAACGGAAUUCCCGGUGUAGCGAUGAAAUGCGCAGAUAUCGGGAGGAACACCGGUGGCGAAGGCGGUUCUCUGGGCCUGUACUGACGCUGAGGAGCGAAAGCGUGGGGAGCGAACAGG